rnacentral:rRNA from 1 species
CGCCUUGCCAGCAGCCGCGGUGAUACGGAGGGUGCAAGCGUUAAUCGGAAUUACUGGGCGUAAAGCGCACGCAGGCGGUUUGUUAAGUCAGAUGUGAAAUCCCCGGGCUCAACCUGGGAACUGCAUCUGAUACUGGCAAGCUUGAGUCUCGUAGAGGGGGGUAGAAUUCCAGGUGUAGCGGUGAAAUGCGUAGAGAUCUGGAGGAAUACCGGUGGCGAAGGCGGCCCCCUGGACGAAGACUGACGCUCAGGUGCGAAAGCGUGGGGAGCAAACAGGAUUAGAUACCCUGGUAGUCCACGCCGUAAACGAUGUCGACUUGGAGGUUGUGGCUUCCGGAGCUAACGCGUUAAGUCGACCGCCUGGGGAGUACGGCCGCAAGGUUAAAACUCAAAUGAAUUGACGGGGGCCCGCACAAGCGGUGGAGCAUGUGGUUUAAUUCGAUGCAACGCGAAGAACCUUACCUGGUCUUGACAUCCAGGUGCUGCAUGGCUGUCGUCAGCUCGUGUUGUGAAAUGUUGGGUUAAGUCCCGCAACGAGCGCAACCCUUAUCCUUUGUU